UACGUAGGCAGCGAGCGUUGUUCGGAAUUACUGGGCGUAAAGAGUGUGUAGGCGGUGCUCUAAGUUCGGUGUGAAAUCUCCUGGCUUAACUGGGAGGGUGCGCCGGAAACUGGAGUGCUUGAGCGUGGGAGAGGAAAGCGGAAUUCCUGGUGUAGCGGUGAAAUGCGUAGGUAUCAGGAGGAACACCUGUGGUGUAGACGGCUUUCUGGACCAUUGCUGACGCUGAGACACGAAAGCGUGGGUAGCAAACAGG
rnacentral:rRNA from 1 species